rnacentral:lncRNA from 1 species
CCCAAGAUACCAGCCGAGCAAAGAAGACAGGAUAACACAUCAGUGGCAAAACCUUGAUGAACGUUGAGCAAUGACAAUCCAAAUAUUAAAAAGGGAUCAUUCUCACGACAUUCUGCAUUCAUGCAAAUAUCAUAUACACCUAGUUAGGAGCAUUCGAUUCAUUCUGAUCAAAGCAUCCUAAUCAUUCAGCAUAAACAUAGUUUUAUAAAAUCGAUUCUACAGGUCAUGUUCCCCAGAGAGCGGCGUAACAAACCGGUGAAACCAUAAAUCCUAUACCGUUGAAAUUAUAGUAGGUCGACUUAAGUCAUCAUAGUAAACCUUAUCUCUCUGAAGUUGCAGUUGAGCAGGUUGAAGUAACAAGUCGCAUCUCCUUGAAGUUGCAGUGAAACAGACUGAAGUUAACAGAUCUUAUCUCCCUGAAGUUGCAGUAGAGCAGAUCGAAGCCGCAGACCUUAUCUCUCUAAAGUUGCAGUAGAGUGGGUUGAAAUAGUAAGUCUCAUCUCCCUGAAGUUGCAGUGGAGCAGAUCGAAGUCGCAAACCUUAUCUCUCUGAAGUUGCAGUAGAGUGGGUUGAAAUAGCAAGUUUCAUCUCCCUGAAGUUGUAGUGGAGCAGACUGAAGAUUGCAGAUCUUGUCUCCCUAAAGUUGCAGUGGAGCAGAUCAAAGCCACAAUCCUUAUCUCUCUAAAAUUACAGUAGAGCAGGAUAAAAUUACCCAAGUCUCAUCUCCCUGAAGUUGUAGUGGAGUAGCCUGAAGUUAACAAAUUUUAUCUCCCUGAAGUUGCAGUGGAGCAGAUCGAAGCCACAAUCCUUAUCUCUCUGAAGUUAUGGUAGAGCAAGAUAAAAAUACACGAACCGUAUCUCCCUAAAGUUGCAGUGGAGCAGUUGCAGUAGAGCAGAUUAAAAACUACAAGGCUAGUCUCUCUAGAUUUACAGUAGAGUAGAUUGGAGCGACAAUUACUAUACCCCUGAAGUUGCAAAGAAUUGGAAUAAGGCUACCUUGAAGAAGAAGUGCAUCAAAGAAGUCAUGAUUUAGCGAGACCGGACAAAAUUGGUCCUCUUUGAAGUCUUUGCUCUAUUCUCGUUACACAACAAUGAGCAAAGAGGGGCAUCUGUAAGGCCCAAUUUUGGCCCGGGCCCGUGCAAACACAAAAAAAAGAGAGAGAAUAAAUUAUAAUAAAAUAUAAAGUCCAUUUACAUCAGCCAAUUGACAAAACAUCAAUCCAAUUACAGUCCAAAAAUUCAAGGCCCAAGUGGCCCAAAAUCAAAACAGUUUCAGAAACCCUAGCAACAAGGAGCACCGCAGUCCCCAACCCACAGCGCCGUACGGCCUCCUAGAGCCAUAGCCAUGCCCACGCCUCCGUAUGCCAGCGCACAGUCCCCGUACACGCGCCACGCACACCACGUACCUGCAAGAAGAGACAAACACAACAGCAAAUACAAAAAAAUAGAAAAAAUUGUAUUUUUUUAUUUUGAUUUUUCUUUUCGGCUAUAAAGCCAAGAGAUUUGAUUUUUGUAAGAGGUUACGCACUACGCAUAUGUAAGAGGUUACACACUACGCAUACUUAAUAUCAGAAAAAGGCAUUUCAAAAAGCAAUUUUUUUUCUCUUAAGGUGAUUUUCUGUCUUUCCGGUUUCUUUAAUUUUUGUUGAAUCAACUCAUUUUACUCUUUCGAUUUUUCAUUGUUGCAUUCAAAAAUAAAAGAGAAAAAGAAAAGGCGAAGUCAUACCUUGCGAUUAGG